AAAUAAGAAGCAAAUUAUUGCAUUUAGUUUCGGCCUAAAAUUAGAUUUUAAUUAAUCCUUAUUU
rnacentral:tRNA from 1 species